AUCUAUAUAGUAUAUAAGUAUAUUUGACUUCCAAUCAUAAGGACUACAUAUUAGUAGUAUAGAUA
rnacentral:tRNA from 1 species